CGAACUGUGCGAACGUUAUUCGGAAUCACUGGGCUUAAAGGGUGCGUAGGCGGCGACUCAAGUCAGGUGUGAAAUCCCCCGGCUCAACCGGGGAACAGCGCUUGAAACUGGGUUGCUCGAGUGAGGCAGGGGUAUGUGGAACUUCCGGUGGAGCGGUGAAAUGUGUAGAUAUCGGAAGGAACGCCGGCGGCGAAAGCGGCAUACUGGGCCUUGUCUGACGCUGAGGCACGAAAGCUAGGGGAGUGAACGGGAUUAGAUACCCCGGUAAUCCUAGCCGUAAACACUGAGCACUGGAGGGGAGGGGCCUUGCGCCUUUUCCCUCGCAGCGAAAGCGUUAAGUGCUCCGCCUGGGGAGUAUGGUCGCAAGGCUG
rnacentral:rRNA from 1 species